GGCAGUCUUCAAUGGUCCAUUUAAAGGGUUUGAUAUCUUGGUCAUUUGUGAUGCAUACUCUCCUAAUGGAGAACCCUUCCACACAAACAAGAGAUAUGAUGCUGCAAUAAUAUAUUGUCAUCAUGAUGUUGCUACUCAAUACCCUUGGAUUGUUAUUCAGCAAGAAUACGCCUUGGUGCCACUUGAUGGUCAAUCUCCUGCAUCUCAGGGACAAUGUUACCCUGAUGCUGGUGCUGUCAAUGAUAUUGUGAGAGAACAUUAUAGUGCCUGCUUAUCUGCUGGCAUCGGCAUUAGCGGAACUAAUGGAAGA